UUUUUGCGAGAAAAUCCCAGAAUCUGGAUGGAAACCGAAUGCAGAGGAGCUCCAAGAAUCCAAAGUAGUCCAUGCCCUAAUUUUAAUCCUUCAUUUCAAUCGAUCUUCCUUUCAUGGCAUUCGUUGCUAUCUCGAGAUGUAAUAUAGAGCGAGAUGAUUCAGAAAGAAAGAGGAAAGGGAUCGAGCAAGCGACGAAGGUGUAGUCGGCUGCGGGCUCCUCGAAUCUAAUAGGAUUGCUUGGAGGAUUGGUCAUCUGAAAACAAGUUCAGUGGCACAAGCCAAAGAAUAUUCAAAUGAGGACCUCAAGGCUCAAGCUCCAAAGUUGAUGCGGAAAAAUGUACAUGAAUGUACAAAUCAGUACCAUUUCUAUCCCCCACGCCCUGACAUUUGGAA